rnacentral:sRNA from 1 species
UAAUUAUACAUAAUUUGGGUAAAGGC